UGUUGUUUUUCUCUUGCCUUGUCUGACCUUGCAGGAUGAAUCUGGUCUCAUAAGUAACACCUUGCGACUGUGUUUGUUUUCAUUACAGGGGUGACUGGGCAGUGACGUGAAGCAGCCAACUGACAAAACCUUCACAGAUGCAGGUCUUCGUCUCUGUGGCCCGCCUUGUUCCUGGUCGUUUUGCAGAAGCAGAGAGCUUCUUCAAUAACUAGAGGAGAGGUCGGUGACGGCCGCAUUAUGUCCCCGUCGAUAUAGACACAAUUGUCCUGUCGAGUGUUUUAUCGGGAGACGGGGAGCAGAGACCUCGGAGGGCCGGCGCUGAAGCAUGUGACGGCCCGCUGGUGUCCAGUCUGCCGCCGCCGUCCUUCAGAAGCUCCUCCCAGCUGUCCAGCAGCCAUGGGCCGGUGUUCGCCAAAGUCAACAGGAGAGAAGGUGAGAAGCAAUCACUGCUUUUGUCCGUAUAGUUCAACUCAAAUAUUUCACGACUUCCAAAUGACAUUUCGAGACAGAUUCAUACCCACGUUGUCGUAAAUCAUAGCUGAUCGGUGCUCUGGUCUUU
rnacentral:lncRNA from 1 species